rnacentral:tRNA from 1 species
GGGGUGUUAGUAAACCAAUUACAUGGCCCUGUCAAAGCCAAACCAUAGGUGAAACCCCUAUACACCCCU